rnacentral:rRNA from 1 species
CGGUGAAUACGUUCCCGGGCCUUGUACACACCGCCCGUCACACCAUGGGAGUUGGUUUUACCCGAAGGCGCUGUGCUAACCGCAAGGAGGCAGGCGACCACGGUAGGGUCAGCGACUGGGGUGAAGUCGUAACAAAGUAGCCGUAGGGGAACCUGCGGCUGGAUCACCUCCUU